CCUACGGGAGGCAGCAGUGGGGAAUAUUGCACAAUGGGCGAAAGCCUGAUGCAGCAAAGCAGCGUGAAGGAAGAAGGGUUUCGGCGUGUAAACUUCUAUUAACAGGGACGAAAGAAAUGACGGGACCUGAAUAUGAAGCCUCGGCUAACUACGAGCCAGCAGCCGCGGUAAUACGUAGGGGGCAAGCGUUAUCCGGAAGUACUGGGUGUAAAGGGUGAGUAGGUGGCAUGGUAAGCCAGAUGUGAAAGCUUUGGGCUUAACCCGAGGAUUGCAUUUGGAACUAUCAAGCUAGAGUACAGGAGAGGAAAGCGGAAUUCCUAGUGUAGCGGUGAAAUGCGUAGAUAUUAGGAAGAACACCAGUGGCGAAGGCGGCUUUCUGGACUGAAACUGACGCUGAGGCACGAAAGCGUGGGUAGCGAACAGGAUUAGAUACCCCUGUAGUC
rnacentral:rRNA from 1 species